rnacentral:rRNA from 1 species
AAAACGACUCUCGGCAACGGAUAUCUAGGCUCUCGCAUCGAUGAAGAACGUAGCGAAAUGCGAUACUUGGUGUGAAUUGCAGAAUCCAGCGAAUCAUCGAGUUUUUGAACGCAAGUUGCGCUCGAAGCCAUUCGGCCGAGGGCACGUCUGCUUGGGUGUCACGC